GGUGAACGCUGGCGGCGUGCCUAAGACAUGCAAGUCGAGCGGGGCAGGGUUAUACCUGUUCAGCGGCGGACGGGUGAGUAACGCGUGGGUGACCUACCCGGAAGAGGCGGACAACCUGGGGAAACCCAGGCUAAUCCGCCAUGUGGUCCUGUCCUGUGGGGCAGGACUAAAGGGUGGAUAGCCCGCUUCCGGAUCGGCCCGCGGCGCAUCAGCUAGUUGUUGGGGUAAGGGCGCACCAAGGCGACGCCGGGCAGCCGGUCUGGGAGGAUGGCCGGCCACAGGGGCACUGGGACACGGGCCCCAGUCCUACGGGAGGCAGCAGUUAGGAAUCGUCCGCAAUGGACGGAAGUCUGACGGAGCGACGCCGCUUGGAGGAGGAAGCCCUUCGGGGUGUAAACUCCUGAACUGGGGACGAAAGCCCUGUGUAGGGGGAUGACGGUACCCAGGUAAUAGCGCCGGCCAACUCCGUG
rnacentral:rRNA from 1 species